rnacentral:rRNA from 1 species
GAUGAACGCUGGCGGCGUGCUUAACACAUGCAAGUCGAACGAAGCACUUUUAAUUCUUCGGAAGAGAAAGUGACUGAGUGGCGGACGGGUGAGUAACGCGUGGGUAACCUGCCUUAUACAGGGGGAUAACAGUUAGAAAUGACUGCUAAUACCGCAUAAGCCGAUAGAGUCGCAUGACUUAGUCGGAAAAGAUUUAUCGGUAUAAGAUGGACCCGCGUCUGAUUAGCUAGUUGUUGAGGUAAUGGCCCACCAAGGCGACGAUCAGUAGCCGGCUUGAGAGAGGGAACGGCCAACGUAGGAAUGAGACACGGCCCAAACUCCUACGGGAGGCAGCAGUGGGGAAUACUUCACAAUGGGGGAAACCCUGAUGCAGCAACGCCGCGUGAAGGAAGAAGUAUUUCGGUAUGUAAACUUCUAUCAGCAGGGAAGAAAAUGACGGUACCUGACUAAGAAGCCCCGGCUAACUACGUGCCAGCAGCCGCAGUAACAC